UUCAAGGUGUUUAUUUUUUUUGAGUUAUUAGGGGUUGUGAGUAGUGUCGGAGAAGCAGGAAUGGUGUUGUGCUACAUGUGGUCGCGACUGCGAUUUGUAAGGAGGAGAGGGAAGAUCUCAUGGUGUCACAGUAUUGCGGAGAGAGUGUUGAGGUUUGUAUGAGAGUGAAACCGGCGGCGAGGAGAGUGAGGUAGAUGAUUUGUGCUAGUUGUUAUUGUUUGGAUGUUUU
rnacentral:lncRNA from 1 species